rnacentral:tRNA from 1 species
GGAGAGGUCGCAUAGCCCGGUCGAGUGCGCCCGCUUGGAAAGCGGGUAGGCCCGAAAGGGUCUCAAGAGUUCGAAUCUCUUCCUCUCCGCCA